rnacentral:ncRNA from 1 species
CAAAGGUUUGGUCCUCACUUUACUGUCAGCAUUAGCUACAUUUACACAUGCAAGUAUCCGCCCCGUCUGUGAGGAUGCCCUUAGUACCCUUCUCGGGCACAAGGAGCGGGUAUCAGGCACACAACAUGUAGCGCCUAACACCUAGCUCGGGCACAGCCCGAUGCGAAUCCAGCAGAGCUGAAUUUCAAGCCAAAAGUGAAAACAUGACUUAGAUAAAGGUAUGAGCGCGUGUAAAAGUCGUGCCAGCCACGACGGUUAUACGAGAGGCUCAAGUUGACAGACAACGGCGUAAAGCGUCGUUAUGGACCAUAUGUAACUAUAGCGGGCUCUCGUCCUAGCUGUUAUACGCUUCCGCGGAUGUGAAGCCCUACUACGCAUGUCGCUUUAGCCAGACUGUACCCACGUAUGGUCAGAAACAAACUGGCAUUAGAUACCCGACUAUGCUUGGCCUUACUCAUUGGUUGUCUACUAACACUAAACAUCCGCCUGGGAAUUACGAACAUUAGUUUAAAACCCAAAGGACUUGGCGGUGCUUAACACCCACCUAGAGGAGCCUGUUCUAGAACCGAUAAUCCCCGUUCAACCUCACCCCCCCUAGCUUUUCCCGCCUAUAUACCACCGUCGCCAGCUUACCCUGUGAAGGACUAACAGUAAGCACAAUCGGCACAGCCCAGAACGUCAGGUCGAGGUGUAGUGCAUGGGAGGGGAAGAAAUGGGCUACAUUCGCUGCCUCCAGCGAACACGAAUGAUGCAUUGAAACAUGCAACUGAAGGAGGAUUUAGCAGUAAGCAGGAAGUAGAGCGUCCCGCUGAAGCCGGCUCUUAAGCGCGCACACACCGCCCGUCACCCUCUCCGAGCAGCUGGCCCUGAAUUUUUCUUAAACCAUUACAAUCGCGAAGGAGAGGAAAGUCGUAACUUGGUAAGCGUACCGGCGGGUGCGCUUGGUUGAAC